rnacentral:lncRNA from 1 species
CUAAUAUAAGACUCAGUAUAUAUGGAAGGGUUAAAGAAUUUAAACCAAAUAUUAGGGUUAGAAAAAUAAAAAGGAUUAUUACAGUAUAUAAGGAAAUUAUAGAUAUGACAGAUAAAAUGAAUGGAAAAUAGAUGCAAUACAUUUCCCUGAAUUGUCCUGUUCUGAACUCAUUAACAAUUAUUUAUAGAUAUCCAGAGCCUCAGGCUGUCAACUUCUGUGACUCUUCCCAGAUGUCCUACUGAGACCUCUGUGCAUUAGUAUUAUUUUCAUAUACAAUAGAAAGCCAGAUGACAUCUACUGUGCACAUCAGAGCAUGAGAUCAUAUGAAAGUACCUGGACUAAAUCCCCAUUGAUUGGUUCUGGAACUCUUCAGAUUAUAUUAAUUAAAGAGCUCUUAGGGGAAUAGGAAGAAAAAGAAGACAAUGUCUUCUUUCUCUGACAAUGAUCUUUGGUGAUACUGAGAUACAAUGAAUUUGUACACCCUGUCAAUAUUAUGCUUUGUCAAAAUUGACAAGGUAAUAGUAGGACUGGCCUUUCAGUUUGAAUAUCCAAAUAACUGAUUUAAUCCUCUGUUUUGGUUCAGACAUGGUUGGAUAAUUAUUUCCAAUUGUUUCUUUCCAUUUUUCUUGGAUACCACAAGCUACAUUAAGACCUAGAGAUAAAGAAAGAGUCUUCUUUCAAAGUAGGAAGGAGAUUUGGUAGAGAACAGGGAAUAUAAGAGAUUCUUUAAAGACUUGUCAUGAUGAAGAUAGAUUAGAUUUGAUCUGCUUGGCCCCAAAAAGUAAGAGUAGGAUCACAGUAUCAGUGUCAGAAAAAGAUAAUUCCCAAUAACUAGAGGUGCUUUAGAAUAGACUGUCUUGGGAUGACUUCCCCAUUCUUGGAGGUCUUCAAGAAAAGCAUGGAUGAUCGGGGUAUGGCAGAGAGGAUUUCUGUUUAGUUACCACUUAAAUUAGAUGAUCUCUCAGGUCUCAUCCAUUGCUGGAGUUCUAGAUUCCCAUGAAAUCACUUAAAAUCUAUAUAUGCCUUUUUAACAUAUCAAAAACAAAAGUCAGCUACAAAUAUUUAAAUGCUCCAAAAUUUUAUCAUAUAUUGACUAGUGUAUAAACAUCUUCCUAUUUCAAUUGUUUGAGUCUAAAUCAAACUGGAGAAAAUUAUAUUUUAGCCUCUUUAUUUUUUAGAAAAGAAAUGCAGACAACGGAGAAUGAUUUUCCAUCAAGAAUGAUGGUGUCCAUCACUGAGCUGUUUGGACAGAUCUAUUCUGAGAACUUUGUGCAGGAUAUCAAUUUGCUAAGACAUGGAAAAAGGCUCGUAGGUUCCCUUCCUUUUAAUAAUCAUAGUUUUCAAUGAUAAUAAUGACAAGCCUAUGUUUUGAAAAGCAAAAGCAAGGUCCACCUAGAAAUUUGUUUGCCAUACUUAGCUAAGAAAAGGUAAUUAGGUUACCAAGGUAGUGUCCUUGAGCUCAGGUUUGCCAAAGCCAGCUCUCUCCUAGUCCUCCUUCUAUUUUUCUAAGCACUUCUUUUCAG